CAGUAUCUUUAAAUAUGAUGUUUCUUGGUAACAGGUACUUAUUUUGGAGAGCCAAGGGGGAAUGGGCUAAAGACCAAUGAAAAUGGCGACCAGACGAGAGAGCAAACAUUGCCUUUACAGGACGUAUUGUCAAGAUUUAUCUCUGAGGAGUCUCUUUGAUGGUAAUUUGGAAAGAGUGAAAAGAAGAUUCAGAACAACAAAACGCAAUUGGGCAAUCUGAUUCUUUUAGUCUUUGACAGUCCCCCUCCCCGAAUCCAAUCAGUUACGUCUUCCUUGUCACAAAGUGUGAUAGUUUGGUGGACUUGAGAGGGAUGACUGGAUUUACUCUUAGAAACCUCAUUGCUUGAUGCAGAUGAGGAUGGGAGUGCAGCUGCAUAAAAUGGUUUAGCUGGGCUACUCCAUGGUUUGGCUUAUCAGGAAGUUUUGGAGUGGAUCAAAUCAGUUGUCGAGGGAUGUGGAGAAAUCAGAGGAAACAGCUAAAAGAUUAUGUCUGGACAACGUUAAACAGUGGCAAAGUUGUUCCAGGAUAUGGCCAUGGUGUUUUGGUUAAAACGGAUCCAAGAUAUGUGUGCCAAAGAGAGUUUACCUGAUGAUCCUCUUUUUCAGCUGGUUGAUUACUUUGCGCGUGUUGCAUGUAAUAUUGCUAAGCAAAGGUGCGGUAAACUUUGUUAUGUUGACAAGGCUACUAUCUCGGAGGGAUCAAUGUUAUGGAGGAAAAGAGUCAAAGCAAAGGCUUCACAGUAUCCUUUCCGGACGAGACCAUCUCAGCUGCAAAAGAAUUCUUGGAGCCAUUGGAGGGUACAAAUGGGAUAACAAUGAAACAGCUUCAUGGAGGUCUCAAAGUCUUUGCAAAUUGUGUAAAUACUUGCAAUGUGUUAAUUGUUUCAUAUAACUGUCUGACCUCCAAGACUUAGCCAUCUCAAAGCCAUUCUUGGCAGUUGGCAUUGCCAUAGCCCCCAAUUGUCAUAUCAAUCUCAGCCUGUGAGUUCAUCACAAAUGGCCCGUGCUGAACCACAGGCUCGCCGAUCGGUUCCCCUGCAAUCAACAAGAACCCCAACGGCCUAGAGCUUGAUAUAUUCCUCACGCUAACUUCAUCCCCUGUUCCGAAUACCACAACAUUGUCUGCUUCUACUGUGGAAGAGUCCGAGGAGCUAAACACGCCUGCAUCGCCUUCUAUAACGUAGAAGCAAACUCACUUGGUGAUGCCCUGUCUAAUAACAGCAACAUCAACUUCAUUCUCAUAGUUUGCAUAUAUCUUCUUAAUGACCUGUUUCGGUGACAUUGUGAUAACGAUGAUGAUCAAACUUUCUUAUUGUUCGUAUCUUUUGCCUCUGUUAGUUUAAAUAGAGGAUGUGAUACUUUUUUUUUCU